rnacentral:lncRNA from 10 species
CACCCAUGUCAUUGAACAAGAGGUUCUAAUAUUACAUAACAGGGUAGUGGUAUGUAGCUGUAGUGGUAUGUGCUCUCUCUCAAUGCUGAGCUGCAGCUCCCAGUCAGCCACUGGAUCAUGAGGGUAAAAUACGGAUACUUGACAUCUUCUUAAAGAACAUCAUGCCUGCUAAGCCAUCCAGUUUGGAUGCCCCAGUGCCUUCCACCAGCCAUUCUCAAGCCUCAUUAGAAGAGAGAGAUUGAUGACCCUGUAGCUGCAGCAUCCCAUCAUCCUGCAUUUUAGUUCAAUGCUUCAAACGUUCUUCAGGCCCAGUGUGCUUUCAGCUGUGUAUGUUAAUGGGAGAGUGAGCAAGUUUCGUCCUUGUGCCUGCAUCUGCUGGGAAACGAUAAGAGCCCAACAUAUGUUAGAAGCAACAAUCGCAGACAAAGAGUACAACUUGUUUUUGAAGGUGCAUCUCCUGCUGUUCCCAAUCUACUCAUCCUAGGAACCAACUCAGG